rnacentral:rRNA from 1 species
UGGGGAAUAUUGGGCAAUGGGCGCAAGCCUGACCCAGCAACGCCGCGUGAGUGAAGAAGGUUUUCGGAUUGUAAAGCUCUGUCCUCAAGGACGAAAAAAAUGACGGUACUUGAGGAGGAAGCCCCGGCUAACUACGUGCCAGCAGCCGCGGUAAUACGUAGGGGGCGAGCGUUGUCCGGAAUUACUGGGCGUAAAGGGAGCGUAGGCGGCCUAUUAAGUUAGAUGUGAAAUACCCGGGCUUAACCUGGGGGGUGCAUCUAAAACUGGUGGGCUUGAGUGCAGGAGAGGAAAGCGGAAUUCCUAGUGUAGCGGUGAAAUGCGUAGAUAUUAGGAGGAACACCGGUGGCGAAGGCGGCUUUCUGGACUGUAACUGACGCUGAGGCUCGAAAGCGUGGGGAGCAAACA